GGAAAUAAAAAAAGGUUCAAUCUGAUAUCAUGCUUCAACAAUUGGGGAAGAUUUUCUUCCUACGACAAUUCGCGGCAACUUUCAGCCAGUAAGUCUUCCGGCAAUGAUUCACGGCAACCUCCGACCAGUAAGUUUUCCGGUACUUCUCUCACUAUAAAACAAUUAACAUCCUAAGUCUCUGCCGAUUUUCCGCCUUCAAACACGUAACAAACAAGCCUUCGGUGAUCUAUUCGAUACGACGUUGUCGAGAUCUUAAAACGCCAACUCUUCCAACGCGCAUGAUCGCUUCUUCGCGUCUCUCCCGACUUCGGAUAUAUCUUUCUGAUCCGAUUCCGUUUCAGUGAAACGACGAA
rnacentral:lncRNA from 1 species